UACUUCCCCUUUAAUGAAUUGUUGUGAGUUUUGAAAGAUCUUGUAUCGAUCUGGUCGAGAAGUACGAGUCGACGACUCUUGUUAUUGAUCUUCAAGUCGAAAACUCCUGCCUGGCCAACAAUCAUAGCAAUACAAAGGGAUUCGGGCCGUGUGGUUGUGCAAUACGGAUUUGAACAGGUUAAUUGUAGGUUCAUGUUGAUGUCCUGAUUGGAAGGGAGUUCAAAUGUGCAACGAAAGCGAACGUUUGAGAUCCAAACAUCCUCGCGUUGCGAGACCUGAUACACGGUAUGCCUUUCUGAGGCAUUUCCGCAACCCUAUCCUUAUGCCAAUUGUCGUGGGUGUCAGUGGUCUUCUUGGACAUGUGUACUUCAAUUAUUAUGUUCCUGCGAGCAAUCCUGAGAAACGCAGAGAGAUGCAAAGGAGAUCACCACGGCCCAUGGGAGCAGACCAAGGGUCAUCUACACAAGCAUAUCCAACUUCUGCCACCAGGUAGAUGAAGUGUCAAGUUUCUACUCCAACAGAUAGUGUUUAUCGUGUUUACCAGAGUGUGUGAAGGCUGAUGCAGUGAUGGUGUCAGGAACAACAGCCCUUGAAGUUAGUCAUAUUGUGGCUGCUGCUGCUGCUGAUGGUGGUGAUGGUGGUGAUGAGAAUUUGAUAAGAGAUCAGGAUGAGGUUUAGAGAUAGCAACAAUCAUUAUUCGGAAUUGUGACAACUAUGUGUGUUGCAUCUCUCCUGUAUGUUUGUCUCCUCAUGGCCACGUGUUGCUUCAGUUGCUGCUGCGCUACUACAAGAGCUUCUGCAGCAGGUAUUGCUUCAUUAUUUUGAAAAUGAGCGCUGUGUAAAGUAGCAAUUUGUCACGCCUAGCUUGAGCCUGUGCUCCUGGCUUUCACGAAAAAAUCGUGUUGCUUACUGUCGGCUGUGCCACGGUGUGGCUGGUGCUCUCCCUGUGCCUGGUGCACUUACUGCACUGCUCUGCAGUUUUGCUACUCUGGCGGCGGCGAUUAUUAGUAGAUAUGAAGUGUUGCUGGGUAUGUAGCGGCGGCUGUUGCAAUGCUUACCGUAGUCAUUUUGAAGACAAUACUUUAACUUACUUGUAUUUGGAAUUCUUCGACUAAGAUUGCUUUGAAAACUA